GCCAGGCGCAGUGGCAUGUCUACUCGGGAGGCUAAGGUGAGAGGAUCGCUUGAGCCCAGGAGUUCUGGGCUGUAGGGUGCUAUGCUGAUCAGGUGUCUGCACUAAGUUCGGCAUCAAUAUGGUAACCUCCCUGGAGUGGGGGACCACCAGGUUGCCUAAGGAGGGGUGAACCAGCCCAGGUUGGAAACAGAGCAGGUCAAAAUUCCUGUGCUGAUCAGUAGUGGGAUCAUGCCUGUGAAUAGCCACUGCACUCCAGCCUGGGCAACAUAGCAAGACCCCCUCUCUU
ensembl:misc_RNA Metazoa_SRP Metazoan signal recognition particle RNA